ACGGGGGGUGCGAGCGUUGUUCGGAAUUAUUGGGCGAAAAGAGCGUGUAGGAGGCUGAAUAAGUAAGAUGUGAAAUACCUGGGCUAAAACCAGGACGAGCAUUUAGAACUAUUCGGGUAGAGUAGGUCAGAGGAAACUUGAAUUCCUGAUUUGGUGCUAAAAUUCGUAGAUGUCAGAAGGAACACCUGAGACAGAGGCGACUCUCUAGCCCUAUACUGACGCUGAGCCGUGGAAACGUGGUUAGCAAACAG
rnacentral:rRNA from 1 species